rnacentral:rRNA from 1 species
UUGUAAUUUGUAGAGAGUGUUUCGGGGGAGACCGCGGUCUAAGUCCAUUGGAACAUGGCGUCAUAGAGGGUGAGAAUCCCGUCUGUGACCGCGGAUCGAGCCCAUGUGAAGCCUCUUCGACGAGUCGAGUUGUUUGGGAAUGCAGCUCAAAAUGGGUGGUAAAUUUCAUCUAAAGCUAAAUACUGGCUGGAGACCGAUAGCGCACAAGUAGAGUGAUCGAAAGAUGAAAAGCACUUUGGAAAGAGAGUUAAACAGUACGUGAAAUUGUUGAAAGGGAAGCGCUUGCGACCAGACCUGCCCGUGGGCGAUCAGCCGCUGUUCUCAGCGGUGCACUCGUUCCACGAUCAGGCCAGCAUCGGUUUCGGCGGUUGGAUAAAGGCCUUGGGAAUGUAGCUUCCCUUCGGGGGAGUCUUAUAGCCCUCGGUGCAAUGCGACCAGCCGGGACCGAGGACCGCGCUUCGGCUAGGAUGCUGGCGUAAUGGUCGUAAGCGACCCGUCUUGAAACACGGACCAAGGAGUCUAACAUCUAUGCGAGUGUUUGGGUGUUAAACCCAUACGCGGAAUGAAAGUGAACGGAGGUGAGAACCCUUAAGGGCGCAUCAUCGACCGAUCCAGAUGUCUUCGGAUGGAUUUGAGUAUGAGCAUAGCUGUUGGGACCCGGUAUGUCUCGACUCCUGCACCCCUUCUUCUAUUGUAUGAAUUUGCUAACAGUUUAAUUUUAGAAAGAUGGUGAACUAUGCCUGAAUAGGGUGAAGCCAGAGGAAACUCUGGUGGAGGCUCGCAGCGGUUCUGACGUGCAAAUCGAUCGUCAAAUUUGGGUAUAGGGGCGAAAGACUAAUC